AUUGAACGCUGGCGGCAUGCCUUACACAUGCAAGUCGAACGGCAGCACGGGAGCAAUCCUGGUGGCGAGUGGCGAACGGGUGAGUAAUAUAUCGGAACGUGCCCAGUCGUGGGGGAUAACGUAGCGAAAGCUACGCUAAUACCGCAUACGAUCUAUGGAUGAAAGCGGGGGGAUCGCAAGACCUCGCGCGAUUGGAGCGGCCGAUAUCAGAUUAGGUAGUUGGUGAGGUAAAGGCUCACCAAGCCGACGAUCUGUAGCUGGUCUGAGAGGACGACCAGUCACACUGGAACUGAGACACGGUCCAGACUCCUACGGGAGGCAGCAGUGGGGAAUAUUGGACAAUGGGCGAAAGCCUGAUCCAGCCAUGCCGCGUGUGUGGAGAAGGUCUUCGGAUUGUAAAGCACUUUAAGUUGGGAGGAAGGGUAGUAACCUAAUACGUUGCUACUUUGACGUUACCGACAGAAUAAGCACCGGCUAACUUCGUG
rnacentral:rRNA from 1 species